rnacentral:rRNA from 1 species
CUGGGACUGAGACMCGGCCCAGAYUCCUACGGGAGGCASCAGUGGGGAAUUUUCCSCAAUGGGSGAAASCCUGACGGAGCAAUACCGCGUGRGGGRGGAAGGYUYUUGGGUUGUAAACCUYUUUUYUCAGGGAAUAAAAAAAUGAAGGUACCUGAGGAAUAAGCWUCGGCUAACUCCGUSCCAGCAGCCGCGGUAAUACGGAGGAUSCAAGCGUUWUCCGGAAUGAUUGGGCGUAAAGGGUCCSCAGGUGGCCCUGUAAKUCUGCUGUUAAAGAGUGAGGCUUAACCUCAUAAGASCAGUGGAAACUACAGAGCUAGAGUGCGUUCGGGGUAGCAGGAAUUCCUGGUGUAGCGGUGAAAUGCGUAGAGAUCAGGAAGAACACCGGUGGSGAAAGCGUGCUACURGGCCGUAACUGACGCUGAGGGACGAAAGYUAGGGGAGCGAAUGGGAUUAGAUACCCCAGUAG